GAUGAACGCUGGCGGCGUGCCUAAUACAUGCAAGUCGAGCGAACAGAUGAGGAGCUUGCUCCUCUGACGUUAGCGGCGGACGGGUGAGUAACACGUGGAUAACCUACCUAUAAGACUGGGAUAACUUCGGGAAACCGGAGCUAAUACCGGAUAAUAUAUUGAACCGCAUGGUUCAAUAGUGAAAGACGGUUUUGCUGUCACUUAUAGAUGGAUCCGCGCCGCAUUAGCUAGUUGGUAAGGUAACGGCUUACCAAGGCAACGAUGCGUAGCCGACCUGAGAGGAUGAUCGGCCACACUGGAACUGAGACACGGUCCAGACUCCUACGGGAGGCAGCAGUAGGGAAUCUUCCACAAUGGGCGAAAGCCUGACGGAGCAACGCCGCGUGAGUGAUGAAGGUCUUCGGAUCGUAAAGCUCUGUUAUUGGGGAAGAAAAAAUGUGUAAGUAACUAUGCACGUCUUGACGGUACCUAAUCAGAAAGCCACGGCUAACUACGUG
rnacentral:rRNA from 1 species